rnacentral:misc_RNA from 1 species
GUGAAUCAUCGAAUCUUUGAACGCAUAUUGCGCUCGAGACUUCGGUCGAGAGCAUGCCUGUCUCAGCGUCGGCUCACCCCUCGCCCACCCUUUCCCCUUUACUGGCGGAAUCGGCAGGCGGACGUGGCCGUCUCUCUUUUCACAAAGAGGGUCGGCUGAAGUGCAGGGCUCGCGGCGCGACCCUCCUGUUCAGCAGGGCGCCAGCAUGGUAGGUGGCUUCACGCUGCAUGCCGCUGUCGUUCCGGUUGCAACGGGCAGCAAGUCGGACAUGCCGCACGGCCAGCAAGCAGGAACUUUGGG